CGCCAGGGCCGCUGUCCCCGGAGGCUGGGGCUCGCCAUCGGUGGAAGCCGCGGGGCUGGCCGCGGCCCGACUUAGCUCCGGGCCCCGCCGCGCGGUGCGUCCUCCCGGCUGCUCCGAAACAAUACUUCAUUGACAGAAAAGAAAAAUCUAAUGAAAGUGAUCUCACUUGAGUGGAUAGCUCUUGGUGCCUGAAAAGAAGGACCAGAGACCUUGGAUGGACAGAGAGAACUCAAACAAGAGGAAAGCUCACUGAGUGUUCAGUGCUACAUUGAUUCCCUGGUCUUGAAAAUCCCAGCUUCUGAAAUGUCGUCGCCCGGAAGCCACUGCCCACACUUGGAAUCAGUUGGUGAGAUAACAAAAGAGGAAUUGAUACAGAAAUCUCAUGGCACUUGUCAGGACUGUAAAGUCAGAGGACCCAACCUUUGGGCAUGCUUAGAAAACAGAUGUACAUAUGUUGGCUGUGGUGAAUCCCAUGUUGAUCACAGUACCACCCAUUCCCAGGAGACAAAACACUGUCUAACUGUCAACCUUACUACACUCCGUGUUUGGUGUUAUGCCUGUAGUAAGGAAGUAUUCCUGGAUAGAAAAUUAGGAUCUCAUUCUCCACUACCAAAUCCAAGACUGUCUCACCAAGCACAAGAAAAUAGUGUGCAGGAUUUUAAAAUACCUAGUAAUCCCACACUGAAGAUUCCGCUGGCAGCUGUAUUUGAUGACUUAGAUAUAGAAGUGGAAGAAGAUGAGUUAAAGACUAGAGGUCUAACAGGAUUAAAAAAUAUUGGAAACACUUGUUAUAUGAAUGCAGCUUUACAAGCUCUUUCUAACUGCCCACCUUUGACGCACUUUUUUCUUGACUGUGGAGGCUUAGCGCGAACAGAUAAGAAACCAGCAAUUUGUAAAAGUUACCUCAAGCUGAUGACAGAACUUUGGCACAAAAGCAGGCCUGGUUCUGUUGUUCCUACUGGUUUAUUUCAAGGAAUUAAAACUGUUAAUCCAACGUUUCGAGGCUACUCUCAACAGGAUGCACAAGAAUUUUUGCGUUGUCUAAUGGAUUUGCUUCAUGAAGAACUUAAAGAACCAGUUGUAGAACUGGAAGAUGCCCAUCCGAUGAGUGUUGAAGAGAGUAUGGAAGAAGACAAGAGCCAGUCAGAUGUAGGCUUUCAGACCUGUGAAUCCUGUGGUACUUGUGAUAAAACAGAAAAUGAUGCUAUUUUUAAACCUGUCUUAGAGGAUCCUGCAGAGACAACCAUGUUAAUUCAGGAUGAUGAUAACAACUCAAUCACAUCCAAAGACUGGCAGAAAGAAAAAAUACCAAGCAACAAGCUUAAACAAACAAAUUCUAUGGAAGACUUGGAAAAAGACGCAAACACUGCUUCAGAGACCACUGAAUGUUUAAAUAAUCAAGGAACUGUCAAAGUACAGAUACACAGCAGAUUCUCAGAGUACAUCAAUGAUGUCCACAUGAAUGAUAUAUCUGCAGCUCAAACUUCAUCAUCAAAUGAAGGGAUGAACUCACGUUUAUCAAACAGUCCUCCAAAAUCAUUCCCAUUGUGCUCUUCACUGGCACCAGUCCACAAAAAAGUUUCAACUGUAUCAUCACCAAAAAGGAAGAAGCGCAAGAAGUACAGGAGUGUUAUUUCUGAUAUAUUUGAUGGGACUAUAAUAAGCUCAGUACAGUGUUUGACUUGUGAUCGGCUGUCUGUAACCCUGGAGACCUUUCAGGAUCUGUCCUUACCUAUUCCAGGUAAGGAAGAUCUUGCUAAACUCCAUUCUGCGAGUCAUCAGACGUCUCUAGUCAAGGCAGGGUCAUGUGGAGAGGCGUAUGCUCCCCAGGGAUGGAUAGCUUUUUUUAUGGAAUAUUUCAAAAGGUUUGUUGUCUCAUGUGUUCCUAGCUGGUUUUGGGGUCCAGUUGUAACCUUACAAGAUUGUCUUGCUGCCUUUUUCGCCAGAGAUGAGCUCAAGGGUGAUAACAUGUACAGCUGUGGAAGGUGUAAGAAGUUAAGAAAUGGAGUGAAAUUCUGCAAAGUGCAAAAAUUUCCUGAGAUAUUGUGCAUUCAUCUCAAAAGAUUUAGACAUGAACUUAUGUUUUCCACAAAAAUUGGGACCCAUGUGUCCUUUCCCUUGGAAGGCCUUGAUCUUCAGCCUUUCCUUGCGAAGGACAGUCCAGCUCAAAUAGUGACUUAUGAUCUCCUAUCUGUCAUCUGCCAUCAUGGAACUGCCAGCAGUGGACAUUAUAUAGCUUAUUGUCGCAACAAUUUAAAUAAUUUGUGGUAUGAAUUUGAUGACCAGAGUGUCACAGAAGUAUCGGAAUCAACAGUGCAAAACGCAGAAGCCUAUGUUCUCUUCUAUAGAAAGAGCAGUGAAGAAGCACAGAGAGAGAGACGGAGGAUAUCAGGUCUACUGAAUAUGAUGGAACCAAGUCUUCUGCAGUUCUAUGUUUCCAGACAGUGGUUAAAUAAAUUCAAGACUUUUGCAGAGCCAGGACCAAUUUCAAAUAAUGACUUUCUCUGUGUGCAUGGAGGUGUUCCUCCCCACAAAGCUAACUUCAUAGAGGACCUAGUUGUAAUGCUACCUCAAAAUAUAUGGGAUAAUCUGUAUAGCAGGUAUGGAGGAGGACCAGCUGUUAACCAUCUGUAUGUUUGUCAUACCUGCCAAAUAGAGUCUGAAAGAAUUGAAAAAAGAAGGAAAAAUGAAUUGGAAAUGUUUAUUCGGCUUAAUAGAGCAUUCCAAGAAGAAGAAUCUCCAUCAACAUUUUACUGCAUCAGUAUGCAAUGGUUCAGAGAAUGGGAAGGGUUUGUAAAGGCUAAAGACAGUGAUCCUCCUGGUCCUAUUGAUAACGCUAAGAUUGCAGUAACAAAAUGUGGAAAUGCUGUUCUAAAACAAGGUGCAGAUUCUGGACAAAUAUCUGAAGAAACAUGGAAUUUUCUUCAGUCAAUCUAUGGUGGAGGUCCAGAGAUUAUACUCAGACCACCUGUUCCUCCUAUAGAACCUGAUAUCUUGCAAACAGAGGAGAAGAUUGAAUUAGAAACUCAUGGUCUGUAGCUAUUGAGAAAAAGAUGAACUUGUAAGGACUCCAGCUUCCUUACAAAAUGCCCAAAAUACAUUCCUAAAUGUUUUAUUCUCCUAUGUCUGGAGGCACAGCUCACUGGGCAUUACAUUAACUACAGAAUAAGGAGAUCAUGGGACAUUGGCAGCUGAGAAGCCUUGCAUGUACAUCGGUGUAAAUGUAAAGAAACACUGAGCAGAGACUUUUAAUGUCUUGACAAGGUGUUUGGACAAUUUUAUAUUAGUAGAUAAGGCAACUUGAAGUUAAUAUCAAGUUACCCCUGUAUCUACAAGGUAAACACAUCAGUUACUACUACAGACUUGUCUUACUUAUUAAGGUAAAGUUGACUUGCCUAUGUACAGUCAAUAGUUACUUGCUGACUUUGGCCUGUGUAAGGCUGUUCUAACUUCCCACCUCCAGUUUUGUCCUUUUUUCAUAUUAGGGUGAUGAAACUAAACUUGGAUUUAUACUGUCUUAUUUUAACUUUUUUUUAAAUUUUUUUUUCUAAGGUUUUAUCUCAUUUAAGCUAUUCUUAAGGUUCUCUAGCAUACUAAAGCUAAAUAGCAAUGAAUAGGUCUGCAUACUUUAGGGAAGAAUUUUUCCUACAUGAUAUUCUUAACUGGAAACCUGGGAAAUAUCUUUUUUGGUUAAAGCACUGUAUGGUGGUCAGGUUUCCCAAUUUAUUCAAUGUUUUCAUUAAUAAUCUGGAUGGUGAAACAGACUGCCCCUGUAAAACUUGCAAAAGAAAAAUGGAUUGAGUGUUAAGGACAUCAGCUUGUUGGGGAAAUGAAGCAGUUCUGUGCUAAGUAUUCUGGGUAUUACAGCAGAUCAGACUAAGAGUUAAAAUCCAGUGAUACCAAAACAAAACCUGUUCUGGGUAAUAGUAACAAAAGCAUCAGAUGUGAGGCACAGGAGGUAAUUAUUCUGCUCUACUUGGUGCUGUGCUGCUUGUGAGAACUCAUCUGUACUGUUCCCAAUUUUGGAUGCUACAUGAUGAUAAAUACAAGUUGAGGUUAUUUCAGAGAAGAGCAACAAGACUCAGUGUUGAAAAUGAAGUUGUUCUCUCACUUAAAAGGAUGCUGAAGGUGCAACACUUCCAGUGUGGAGAUAAUUGGUGGAUAAUAGUGAACAAUUUUUCCUAGACGAGUAGGGAUAUUUGCCUCAGCUUUAUCAAUGGUGACUUCUGCUGGGUUUAGGUAGCCUAUUAGAAAUCUAGAAAUCUUCUAGCAGUUUUGCCAGUCUUUUCCACUGGGUUUCUGGGAAUCCAUAGUCAAACAUAAUCUUAAACUUUGAUGCACAUAAAUCAGUAACGAGACACUUAAAACUAGCAGAGUUUGUGAAAUGCCUCUAUCACUGCAGUAAAAGGCAUCUUCACACUACAACUGUUUGUCAUGCUUUAAAAAAAAAGAAAAGAAGAAAUCCAGAGUUUGCAGAGAUGAAGUAGAUGUGUUUGUGUUUAAGACAGUUCCAAAGAGAUGACUGUCUUGCUUUUAGCCCUUUGAGAGCUCUACAAGGGAUUUUAUGCCACAGAAAUGGAAGUAGCCUUUUAAAGUAAGACAGUGUGGGAGAACUCCCGAUGGAUGGCUUGUGUAUGCUGGAAGGAAGGCAACAAUUCAGAGAAUAGGUAAAGGAGAAGCCUUUACUGUGAAGAGCUGUCUGAUUUGCAGCAGAGAAAGAAUGCAUCUCGGCAAGGGGCUGUGGAAAUUAUUUUUUUCCAUAAGCCUUUCACCAGACUAUUUGGAUUCUUUGUUCAUUUGUUUCCAGUUGAGGAAACACAGCAAUGUGUUUGGGUGCCAGGGAAGCUGUCAUUUCAAGAAGGGAAAAAUCCAGUGGAGUCCUUGUUUUAGGCCUGGGAAUCUAGAUUUGAGCUGUUAAAAGCCUGCUGUUCAGUCUGGUAACUUUAAUCCUCUCUUCUGGAGAAAACUGCAUGGGGGAUGUGGGAAAUUUACCAGCUUAAACCUUGAUUUCUCUAAAUUUGUGAAGUUUUUUUGCAAGUAGUAUAGGUAUAAUUGUUCAUCUGAACCCCCAGCAUCGAGGAGAGUGCUUCAGAUACUGUGUGAUGUAGCUGAACAGUGUAAUUGGAGGGAAGAGAUUAGUGGAAGAGCUAUUGAGUUACUCAGUAGUAAAAUAAGGCACUUCUAUAAUAUGCUUCAGAAGUGACAGCUAAGUAGUCCGUCUGCUUAAUAAAGUAAAUAAAAAUUACCUGCUUGUUAGCUGUAAAAUUAUCCCAUGUUAUACUUUUACUGACUUAAAGGACAGUCUCUUCCUUUCCUGUGACUGGAACAUCAGGAAAUGAAGGAAGUUCUGAAGACAAUUCUGUGAUGCAAAUUCAUUGUUUAACUUGGGUAGUCCAGAAGGCUGUUUCUGCAAGUAUAAUCUAAAUUACUCCUGUGUCUAGGGAUAGAUAUAUAGAGAGAUAUAUAUAAAUGCACAUAAUCUAUUUCUCCAGUCUCUUAAUUGAACUGUGGCUGGAGGCACUACAGUAAUUAUUUUUGGUUCUAUGUUGGAAUAGUGAUCUUGAGUAGAUACAUCCAAUAAAGGUUGUUUUCUGUUUUCAAAUAGAUAAAUGACACUCAACUGACUGAUGUAAUGAGUGUCAGCCUUCCCAACAGUAAUGGCCUGAAAGUUUGCUAGGUAAGUUAGAGACUUCAUACACUGUUCAAAAGCUGUAUGAAGAUAAGAUGAAAAAGGGUAAAAGCUAUUUUUAUUAAUUCAUAUCAGAUGGACUCAGAACCAUUUUGAUAACUCUAUUUUAUUUGAAUACUGUUGUAAUUGUCAGCUGUUGAGCUGCCUGAAUGCAGCAAAAACAUGUUUUAAAGUAUCCUCUAAUACCUAUUUGACAAAAACUGCUGUAGGGUAAGCCCUCUGUGGUGAGACACUACACACCUGCCAAAUCUGAAUUCAAGGGAGAACAGCCACACCCAUUUUUGCUACCCAUCCCUGACAGUGGUAAAGAGAUCUUGCGUUUGAAUCUGCUCUGUCUAGGUAUUGUACUAUGACUUACAAACCUACUGUAUGCAGCUGGGUCAAUGGAAGCUAAUUUAUUUAGGUUUUUUUUAUGUAAUUAAUCUAUUUCUUCUCCCUGGCGAUAUCAUAUUUGAUGUGGAAGUUCUAGUCUGUUUGGCUUUGCUCAGAAGUCACAGUCCUGUGGGAAUGCUUACCAUUCUAUCAACAGAGCUGUGCUGAUAGAAAUUAACUUCUGACUAAGCUAUCCAAGUAGAGAUGUCAAGAUUGGAGCUAACAAGUAGUAGUGCAUUAGUCCCUACUCUGGAGGCUAGAUGAUAACAUACUCUUAGAAAUCUGUCCUUCCAGCAGAGUGCAACACUCAGUGACAUCUGAAAGAAUUUAUAUUUGGAGCCUUUUGUAAAUUUGUAUGGUCCCAUAUUUUCCUAAAGAGCCCCAAAGCAGGGUAAUUUCAUGUCAGUACCUGUUGAGUUAGUGGUAUGUCCCACUGACAGUGGGAUAUCAGCAUAAAGUGUUAGAAAUAUCUUUGGCUAUAGAAAUAUAUUAUGUGGAUGAAGCAGUUUUCAUUGGUGGAGCAAAAGUUAAAUAUGCCCAUUUAGGCCUGAAUUUUUGCUAUGAAAUCUGGUGUAAUUUGAUGUGCUAUGCUAAUGCAUUAUGUAAGAAUCCUGCUUCUCAGAUUCAAAACUUAUAUAGUGAUUGGCUUUUUCUAACACAAGAUAUCCUAGGUUUUCUUAAAAGGACUAAAGCCAAGAUGCUUCUUUCAAGUUAAUAUAGGCAUUUAUUUAUAAUGUUACUGCUAACAUUUGAUUUUUUUUUUUUGAUUGAUAGAUUAUCUUGUUAUUCAUCACGUAAGGUCAUUUGGAAAAGCAAACCUAAGAUUUGGAAAAUUUACAGGAAAACUUACAGACUAUCUGCUUAAAGGGGCAAGUGGUUGCUUCCUAUUUGCCAUACAAAUAUUUUAUACUGAAAUAAGAAAAUUCUGUUCCAUUUAUUCCUUUUGAAUUCCCUUCAUACAUCUGGCUUAGUGCAGUCUAAGCAGUUUUCUCACUGAAAACCUUUCAGCUCUUCAUUUUGCCCAGGAAAUGAGUAAAACAACUAGGCUUUUUCAUUCUUCCAAACAGAUGGCUUUUCUGGCUUCCCUCUCUACUUAAGCCAUCCAGAGCUGACAAUUAGUAGCAGGAAGCAAAAUAAGAGUUCUAGAUUUCUGAAGUGUCACAAAGAAAGACAAAUCACUUUCAGCAUUAUUUCACAGAAAUUACCUGGUUGCAAACAAACUUGGCUUAUAUUAGCUUUCAAAAUCUAAGCAGAUUAGAAAACAGCCUUGAUCAGUAAGAAAUUUGAAAGCGCUAUUCUCAUUAAUGGUGAAAAGUAUAACUUGUUUUCUUGAAUAUAUUCUAUAAUAUAUAUAUCUGUUUAAAACAUGUGACUUGUCUUAAGAUAAGAAUAGCUUCAGCCUAGCUUUCAGCCAUUCAACAAAGCGACAAGGCUAUUUCUCCAUAAAAAGCAGUGUGAACACUGCCACACAGUAAGAUAAAAUGUCAUCUGUUUAUAAUACAUUUAAUAUUACAGAUGUUUGCUUACAAUAGCAGUCAUGUUUUUCAUAGAAAAGCUGGUAUUAUUUACUCUAUCACGAAAGUUUUCUCUCUUCUAAAUCUGUGUCACCUGAGACAUGCAGCUAGAAAAAGAAGGUCCAUUUGUGAGAAACAUAUCACUGAUGUGUGUGAUAGGUUUUAUGGGUUGUUAGUGAUACCACAUGCCAAAUCACUUGAUGACAAGUUUCCUUAUAAGGGUCAUAGAUGGGUAUAUGUUUGGACUUAAGAAAAUGCAGUAGGAACUUGAUCAUUCAAGUAGGACAAGUAUAAGAUGAAUAAGCAAGAAAUUUCAUUUUCUGACUUGUUCAAGAUUGAGUUGAUUAGCUAAAAAGGUACAAGUUCUGGUUGUUGAAAUGAGUGGACAUGAGGAAAUAGAGUUGACACUUACUGAUUAUAUACUACUAUAAAAUGAACUGUCAGUGAAAAAGUAAAGUUGGAGUAAUAGGAAUACACUGGUUGUUUAUGCAGUUUUGAUAUGCCUUUAUGCAAUGUUAGUGAAUCUCAAAUCACUUCUGUUUCUCACUAGUCAUUUGUUCAGCAGCAUAGGAGGUGCAAAAAUCAAGCAGUCACCAUCCACAGAAUGCUUCCAUAAUAUAAAUGAAGUUGAGAAGAUUUCAUUUCCAGAUAUGUUCCUUUUUCUCACUUGGAACUCACAAAGAACUUAUUAUACGUUAAGAGCUUUAGUAAGAUCCAUUUUUGGAAUAACUUACCACAUGAGAAAGUAAAUCUUAAAGUACUUUGUUGAGAAGAAUAAGGAGGGCAGAGGAGAGGAAGCAUUUGAUUCUUACAAGUAAGAAAAAACUUAGCUCAAAAUAAAUUGUCAGUUGUCAAAAAUAGCAAUUUUUGUCUCUUAUCUCAUAGGACAAUGCCAAGACCUUUUCAUUUUCAUUGUUCUUGAAUAGUUUUGCCCAGAAAUGAAUAUUUUUCUAGGUGACUAAUUUUGUUCUGUCCAGUGUGGUUUUUAAUGUACACGCUAAAACAAGAUGUCCUGGUUACCAUGGUGAUACAUUGCUUUCCCCCCUCUUCCCCCGGGUGUCUGUUAAAAUGCCAAACCCAAAUGAACAGAGAUGCAGCACUUGCUCAUGCUGUGAAUGCAUGUUAGUUUCCACCAAUGCGCACACCUUCUUUUUAGGACCAGAAGUAAGACUACUUUGAGAUUUUCAGCUAUAACAAAAGAACUGCGCUUGUACAUGCCAAAUUGCUAAUUGAUUGGCAGCUAUUAAUUCAGUUAGACAAUAUUUUCAAUUAAAUUUCUAGUCCAGUACUGAGAUUUUUAUAUUUGGACUGACUUUACAAUUUAACUGUAGAAGCAAGAAAUAUGACAUUUAUUUAGCUAUGAACACUUCUUUAGUGUCCCAUCUUCUGAAUAAUUUUUGGUAAGGAAAAUGUAUUCUUUCCUACCUUGUUUGUUUGUAGUAUAAUUAAUUGGCUUUCCAACCAAGCAGGGUAGUGGAGGUAAUUUAUCUCUUAAACUAGAUCAGUAGCAAUCUGAACUUCAUGUGUGACCUUGACUUCACAUGCUCAAGUGCAGAGGCUAGUCUUCCUGGGCUCUUUCUGUAGAUACUGAAAAAGAUACAGGUAAUGGAGGCACUUUCUGGGCUUCUGGUCUGUAAGCUGUCUCCAGAAGGUGUAAGUUUCCUGACCGCACUGUCAACCUAAAUCUGAAAAGUGCCUACCCUCCAUUCUGGAUUUGAGCCCUGAACAGGGAUCUCUCCUUCUUAAACUGUUAGUGGUGCUGGUGUCCACUCUUGUGUGAUGGCAAUUAGGUUUAAAUAAAAAUUCAACCUUUCACCUCCUGUAUGAGAGGGCCCUAAUCACAAGCUAGGCUUGUCUUUAAAAAACUUUUCUGUUUGGAAAAAAAACAUGCCUAAAGGCU